GGUUAAGCGACUAAGCGUACACGGUGGAUGCCCUGGCAGUCAGAGGCGAUGAAGGACGUGCUAAUCUGCGAUAAGCGUCGGUAAGGUGAUAUGAACCGUUAUAACCGGCGAUUUCCGAAUGGGGAAACCCAGUGUGUUUCGACACACUAUCAUUAACUGAAUCCAUAGGUUAAUGAGGCGAACCGGGGGAACUGAAACAUCUAAGUACCCCGAGGAAAAGAAAUCAACCGAGAUUCCCCCAGUAGCGGCGAGCGAACGGGGAGCAGCCCAGAGCCUGAAUCAGUGUGUGUGUUAGUGGAAGCGUCUGGAAAGGCGCGCGAUACAGGGUGACAGCCCCGUACACAAAAAUGCACAUGCUGUGAGCUCGAUGAGUAGGGCGGGACACGUGGUAUCCUGUCUGAAUAUGGGGGGACCAUCCUCCAAGGCUAAAUACUCCUGACUGACCGAUAGUGAACCAGUACCGUGAGGGAAAGGCGAAAAGAACCCCGGCGAGGGGAGUGAAAAAGAACCUGAAACCGUGUACGUACAAGCAGUGGGAGCACGCUUCGGCGUGUGACUGCGUACCUUUUGUAUAAUGGGUCAGCGACUUAUAUUCUGUAGCAAGGUUAACCGAAUAGGGGAGCCGAAGGGAAACCGAGUCUUAACUGGGCGUUAAGUUGCAGGGUAUAGACCCGAAACCCGGUGAUCUAGCCAUGGGCAGGUUGAAGGUUGGGUAACACUAACUGGAGGACCGAACCGACUAAUGUUGAAAAAUUAGCGGAUGACUUGUGGCUGGGGGUGAAAGGCCAAUCAAACCGGGAGAUAGCUGGUUCUCCCCGAAAGCUAUUUAGGUAGCGCCUCGUGAAUUCAUCUCCGGGGGUAGAGCACUGUUUCGGCAAGGGGGUCAUCCCGACUUACCAACCCGAUGCAAACUGCGAAUACCGGAGAAUGUUAUCACGGGAGACACACGGCGGGUGCUAACGUCCGUCGUGAAGAGGGAAACAACCCAGACCGCCAGCUAAGGUCCCAAAGUCAUGGUUAAGUGGGAAACGAUGUGGGAAGGCCCAGACAGCCAGGAUGUUGGCUUAGAAGCAGCCAUCAUUUAAAGAAAGCGUAAUAGCUCACUGGUCGAGUCGGCCUGCGCGGAAGAUGUAACGGGGCUAAACCAUGCACCGAAGCUGCGGCAGCGACGCUUAUGCGUUGUUGGGUAGGGGAGCGUUCUGUAAGCCUGCGAAGGUGUGCUGUGAGGCAUGCUGGAGGUAUCAGAAGUGCGAAUGCUGACAUAAGUAACGAUAAAGCGGGUGAAAAGCCCGCUCGCCGGAAGACCAAGGGUUCCUGUCCAACGUUAAUCGGGGCAGGGUGAGUCGACCCCUAAGGCGAGGCCGAAAGGCGUAGUCGAUGGGAAACAGGUUAAUAUUCCUGUACUUGGUGUUACUGCGAAGGGGGGACGGAGAAGGCUAUGUUGGCCGGGCGACGGUUGUCCCGGUUUAAGCGUGUAGGCUGGUUUUCCAGGCAAAUCCGGAAAAUCAAGGCUGAGGCGUGAUGACGAGGCACUACGGUGCUGAAGCAACAAAUGCCCUGCUUCCAGGAAAAGCCUCUAAGCAUCAGGUAACAUCAAAUCGUACCCCAAACCGACACAGGUGGUCAGGUAGAGAAUACCAAGGCGCUUGAGAGAACUCGGGUGAAGGAACUAGGCAAAAUGGUGCCGUAACUUCGGGAGAAGGCACGCUGAUAUGUAGGUGAAGCGACUUGCUCGUGGAGCUGAAAUCAGUCGAAGAUACCAGCUGGCUGCAACUGUUUAUUAAAAACACAGCACUGUGCAAACACGAAAGUGGACGUAUACGGUGUGACGCCUGCCCGGUGCCGGAAGGUUAAUUGAUGGGGUUAGCGGUAACGCGAAGCUCUUGAUCGAAGCCCCGGUAAACGGCGGCCGUAACUAUAACGGUCCUAAGGUAGCGAAAUUCCUUGUCGGGUAAGUUCCGACCUGCACGAAUGGCGUAAUGAUGGCCAGGCUGUCUCCACCCGAGACUCAGUGAAAUUGAACUCGCUGUGAAGAUGCAGUGUACCCGCGGCAAGACGGAAAGACCCCGUGAACCUUUACUAUAGCUUGACACUGAACAUUGAGCCUUGAUGUGUAGGAUAGGUGGGAGGCUUUGAAGUGUGGACGCCAGUCUGCAUGGAGCCGACCUUGAAAUACCACCCUUUAAUGUUUGAUGUUCUAACGUUGACCCGUAAUCCGGGUUGCGGACAGUGUCUGGUGGGUAGUUUGACUGGGGCGGUCUCCUCCUAAAGAGUAACGGAGGAGCACGAAGGUUGGCUAAUCCUGGUCGGACAUCAGGAGGUUAGUGCAAUGGCAUAAGCCAGCUUGACUGCGAGCGUGACGGCGCGAGCAGGUGCGAAAGCAGGUCAUAGUGAUCCGGUGGUUCUGAAUGGAAGGGCCAUCGCUCAACGGAUAAAAGGUACUCCGGGGAUAACAGGCUGAUACCGCCCAAGAGUUCAUAUCGACGGCGGUGUUUGGCACCUCGAUGUCGGCUCAUCACAUCCUGGGGCUGAAGUAGGUCCCAAGGGUAUGGCUGUUCGCCAUUUAAAGUGGUACGCGAGCUGGGUUUAGAACGUCGUGAGACAGUUCGGUCCCUAUCUGCCGUGGGCGCUGGAGAACUGAGGGGGGCUGCUCCUAGUACGAGAGGACCGGAGUGGACGCAUCACUGGUGUUCGGGUUGUCAUGCCAAUGGCACUGCCCGGUAGCUAAAUGCGGAAGAGAUAAGUGCUGAAAGCAUCUAAGCACGAAACUUGCCCCGAGAUGAGUUCUCCCUGACUCCUUGAGAGUCCUGAAGGAACGUUGAAGACGACGACGUUGAUAGGCCGGGUGUGUAAGCGCAGCGAUGCGUUGAGCUAACCGGUACUAAUGAACCGUGAGGCUUAACCUU
rnacentral:rRNA from 1 species